GAUGAACGCUGGCGGCGUGCUUAACACAUGCAAGUCGAACGAGAAGUGAAGACGGAAACCUUCGGGCGGAAGGCUUUAUUUCGAGUGGCGGACGGGUGAGUAACGCGUGGGUAACCUGCCUCAUACAGGGGGAUAACAGUUGGAAACGACUGUUAAUACCGCAUAAGACCACAGCACCGCACGGUGCGGGGGUAAAAACUCCGGUGGUAUGAGAUGGACCCGCGUUCGAUUAGCCAGUUGGCGGGGUAACGGCCCACCAAAGCGACGAUCGAUAGCCGAUCUGAGAGGAUGACCGGCCACAUUGGGACUGAGACACGGCCCAAACUCCUACGGGAGGCAGCAGUGGGGAAUAUUGCACAAUGGGGGAAACCCUGAUGCAGCGACGCCGCGUGAGUGAAGAAGUAUUUCGGUAUGUAAAGCUCUAUCAGCAGGGAAGAAAAUGACGGUACCUGAGUAAGAAGCCCCGGCUAACUACGUG
rnacentral:rRNA from 1 species